rnacentral:rRNA from 1 species
GACGAACGCUGGCGGCGUGCCUAAUACAUGCAAGUAGAACGCACAGUUUAUACCGUAGCUUGCUACACCAUAGACUGUGAGUUGCGAACGGGUGAGUAACGCGUAGGUAACCUGCCUGGUAGCGGGGGAUAACUAUUGGAAACGAUAGCUAAUACCGCAUAAUAUUGAUUAUUGCAUGAUAAUUGAUUGAAAGAUGCUAUUGCAUCACUACCAGAUGGACCUGCGUUGUAUUAGCUAGUAGGUGAGGUAACGGCUCACCUAGGCGACGAUACAUAGCCGACCUGAGAGGGUGAUCGGCCACACUGGGACGGAGACACGGCCCAGACGCCUACGGGAGGCAGCAGUAGGGAAUCUUCGGCAAUGGACGAAAGUCUGACCGAGCAACGCCGCGUGAGUGAAGAAGGGUGUCGGAUCGUAAAGCUCUGUUGUAAGAGAAGAACGGGUGUGAGAGUGGAAAGUUCACACUGUGACGGUAUCUUACCAGAAAGGGACGGCUAACUACGUG